UGAGGGCUUCGGCGGGCGGCGUGCCGGGGAGAGCACCGGCGGCGGGCUCAGCAUCCUUUGUGGCAGCCGGGCGCGCCUUGCCGCUGGCCGGCAGCUCCAGCUCCGAGGGACCUGGCGAAGGGCGAGAAGCCCACCGAUGGCCGCGCGGCGAGGACCGGGGACGCGUGGAUGCUCCUCCAGAGCUUGCCUGC